rnacentral:rRNA from 1 species
UAGUCCACGCCGUAAACUAUGGAUACUAGGUGUUUGGGGAAUUAACCCCCUGAGUACUGGAGCUAACGCAUUAAGUAUCCCGCCUGGGGAGUACGGUCGCAAGGCUAAAACUCAAAGGAAUUGACGGGGGCCCGCACAAGCGGUGGAGUAUGUGGUUUAAUUCGAAGCAACGCGCAGAACCUUACCUACCCUUAACAUCCCAGGACGAUUGCAGAGAUGUAAUUUCCCCUUCGGGGGCUUGGAGAUAGGUGCUGCAUGGCUGUCGUCAGCUCGUGUCGUAAGAUGUCUGGUUAAGUCCAAUAACGAGCGCAACCCUUAUCUUUAGUUACCAUCAUUAAGUUGGGGACUCUAGAGAGACUGCCGGUGUUAAACCGGAGGAAGGCGGGGAUGACGUCAAGUCCUCAUGGCCCUUACGGGUAGGGCUACACACGUACUACAAUGGCAGAGACAAACCGCAGCGAGAUCGUGAGAUGGAGCUAAUCGGUAAAACACUGUCCCAGUCCGGAUUGGAGUCUGCAAUUCGACUCCA